UUCUCUUUUUGUACUCUAGUUAGAAGCUUCAAUCUUCAAAGCACUACAGUAGCUCUUGGCAAUCAGCUUUCCCUACACGCAUUCCUCUCCUCUUUGUCAUUUGGUACUACAGUAGCGCCUACGCGAAGAAGUAUAUGAAGUGGAUAGGUUUUGCCUUAUACCUGUUGUCUAUUGUUAAUGUCUUGCAGUUCGAAGGUGUCUCUUUGCAUAUUCGUCUUCAACCAAAAGGGGAAGAAAAUCUUCCGUGAUAAUUGCGAGCUCAGGGUGAUCUUUUGGGUUUGCUUCCCUUCAAUGCCAAUAGUUGUGCACAUGUCUCCUCAUCUGGAAGCUUAUCUGUUGGUGAUUGUUGGAUUCAAUCUUUGAGAUAAGCCUAACGCUCAUUUGCACCUACAUGUGAUACACAGAAUAUGCUACCCAGGGGUUCAAAUUGAAUGCUUCUUCAGUGAACUAAAUGAGACAGGUGUGAGAAUGAACCAUCUUGUCUAUAAAUACUGACCUUUUAGUCGUUUGUUCUGCAACUGACUACCACUUAUCUCCUCCCUUCUGUUUGUUUUGUCUUCUUGUCAUCACUUUCGAGAGGAUGAAUGGUGUCAAAAGUGUGUUUGUCUCAGAUUAAUUCAAACAAAAAUUCCUCGUGCAUCACUAUUCGUGUUUUGCGCGUGAUCUGGAGGGCAUGCGGUGACAAUGACGAUGCUGACUUCGAGUACCCAAAAAACCUUAUAUCUAUGGACUACGUUUGAUGGAUAAUCAAGUAUGGUGUUUUAACUACACAUUUAUUGUGUUGCAACGAUGAAGUAAUAAUGUGUUUCCUUUGUUGUUGAUGUGGGUCAGUGCAAGGAACAAAAAUGCUGACAACAGCUAUUGGGGAGACAUUGAUUGAUCGCUUCUUUGGGUUGUUCGAUCAAGGUGCUUCCUAUUAUAUUGCCUUCGUUGAUGUGCGCGAAUGGCCAAACGAGUUCCACGACAUGUACGAGAUUCAUCUCUGCUACUACACUCAGGUUGAUCGAGCCCAUGUCCUACUUCCUUUUUAUGAGUUUCGCCUGAGAUCAGUUAUGGAAAUCGAGAAUUACAUUGGUCUGGGCUCUCUGUGUGUUGGUGAGUUGUGGUUUCAGUGCAUCCCAUUAUUAUGUAAUUUUAAGUGGUUUUUGUUGUCACCCACAUGUGAAAUUGUUUAUGCCUAGAUGUAUUUGGUGUCAUGAAGGACAUUUGACAUAUGGUUCCAAUAAAGAUAGGGGGCAUGUACAGUGUCUAGUGGUGUUUUUAUUCUCGAGGAUUUUGAGUAACGACCUUGUCUUCUUCACUUCAUCACUUCAUCUUUUAUAUUUGUAGUUGUUUUCAGUUCUUUGGAAAACUUUUAGAACUUAAUAAUGAAGAGCUCUGUUGUCUA